rnacentral:rRNA from 1 species
GACGAACGCUGGCGGCGUGCUUAACACAUGCAAGUCGAACGGAAAGGCCUGCUUUCCCUUGUGGAUUGCGGGUACUCGAGUGGCGAACGGGUGAGUAACACGUGAGUGAUCUGCCCCCAACUUGGGUAUAAGCCUGGGAAACUGGGUCUAAUUCCCGAUAGGACUGCAGGGUGGUGCCUGUGGUGGAAAACGAUUUUCUAGUGGUUGGGGAUGAGCUCGCGGCCUAUCAGCUUGUUGGUGGGGUAAUGGCCUACCAAGGCGGCGACGGGUAGCCGGCCUGAGAGGGUGGACGGCCACAUUGGGACUGAGAUACGGCCCAGACUCCUACGGGAGGCAGCAGUGGGGAAUAUUGCACAAUGGGCGGAAGCCUGAUGCAGCGACGCCGCGUGGGGGAUGACGGCCUUCGGGUUGUAAACUCCUUCCGACCGCGAGGAAGCCACCUGGUUGGAAGGGUGGUGACGGUAGUGGUAGAAGAAGCACCGGCUAACUACGUG